AAACAGCCCCCUAUGUUUGAUUCUUUGGCAAUUUUGGACCCCCAAGGCAAAAAAAAAUAAAAAAAAAUGACACGUGGCACCUCACUUAGGGUGCCACGUCAGCGUAGACCGAGUCAACAAUGGACUGGGGGUCCAAAACUGACAAAAAAUCAAAACAUAGGGGGCUGUUU
rnacentral:pre_miRNA from 1 species